rnacentral:lncRNA from 1 species
CUCGGCAGAGCGAUGGCUUCCACAGGAUGAGCAUAUGAAUGUAUGGAUCCCAGCCGUGCAGAUCCAAACCACAUUAAUGUAUUUACACACAUUGUGGCGGGAGACAACAACCACGUCCUAGAUGUAGCUCCUUCUGCACAAAUACUUGAUCUUUUCUCCAGAUGCAUCAGGUUUUCUCACCAGCUGCUCUAUCUAGUGUAUGAGCUAAUACCCACUCCCACAGGGAGACAGAGGGACUGGUGCCUGACACUGCACUGCCUUGUGCUUUGGUGUCAGUAACUUUGAAAUUGUUUACGGAAAAGCUCGUGGCUCCCACUGAUUUCAUCUGCUCUUGCAAUUUCGCUAUGAGUCAUCCAAUAUGGUGUGUACUUUGUUUUACUUACAGACCAAACUGCCUGAAUUGCAUCUUUAGUUAAGUUGUCUCAUCUCCCUUCCAGCAAAAAAGCACAAACAAAUAAAAAGUUUCUUACUCUCA